UACGUAGGUGGCAAGCGUUGUCCGGAAUUAUUGGGCGUAAAGAGCUCGUAGGCGGCUUGUCGCGUCGGAUGUGAAAGCCCGGGGCUUAACUCCGGGUCUGCAUUCGAUACGGGCAUCACUGGAGUUCGGCAGGGGAGACUGGAAUUCCUGGUGUAGCGGUGAAAUGCGCAGAUAUCAGGAGGAACACCGGUGGCGAAGGCGGGUCUCUGGGCCGAUACUGACGCUGAGGAGCGAAAGCGUGGGGGAGCGAACAGG
rnacentral:rRNA from 1 species